rnacentral:rRNA from 1 species
CAGGACUUGACAUCCCUCUGACCGGAGAGUAAUGACUCCUUCUCCUUCGGGGACAGAGGAGACAGGUGGUGCAUGGUUGUCGUCAGCUCGUGUCGUGAGAUGUUGGGUUAAGUCCCGCAACGAGCGCAACCCUUGUCAUUAGUUGCCAGCAAGUAAAGUUGGGCACUCUAAAGAGACUGCCGGGGAAAACUCGGAGGAAGGUGGGGAUGACGUCAAAUCAUCAUGCCCCUUAUGUUCUGGGCUACACACGUGCUACAAUGGCUGGUACAACGGGAAGCGAAGGAGCAAUCCGGAGCAAAUCCUAAAAGCCAGUCUCAGUUCGGAUUGUGGGCUGCAACUCGCCCACAUGAAGUCGGAGUUGCUAGUAAUCGUGGAUCAGAAUGCCGCGGUGAAUGCGUUCCC